GAUUCAGCCUGUGAGAGGAUAUUUGAGCUUCUCACAUUCUGUAGCUUGUUCAGCAGCUAUGUUAUGAGGAGGAGGAGGCUGCAGUAUUUGAGAGACACCACCAUUCGUCGUCGGCAAUACCUGCGCAGGAGGAGAUCGUUUAUAUCUGCUUCUGUGACCACCAUACUCAACCUUAACCUCAGUACUCAACGAAAAUUGUGGUCUAGAGAACGGCAGCAUGGGCAAGUUUUUAUGCAAAGUGUACUGAACUUUCAGGAUGUUCAGUGGAAGUGUCACUUCAGGAUGUCACGUCACACAUUCCACUAUCUUUUGGAUUUAAUGUCCCCAGCACUCUCUAGACAGACCACAAACUUCAGGUCACCAAUAGAGCCAAGCAGGAGGCUAGCUAUAGCAUUGUGGUGGUAUGCCACUCCAGGUGAAUAUCGCACAAUUGCUUGCCUGUUUGGUGUGGGUAUAUCUACCGUUUGCACCAUUGUACAUGAAGUGACCAAAGCAUUGGUGGACAACCUAUACCACAGAUUUAUAUCUCUUCCGCAAGGCCAGCGUUUGGAUGAAACAAUUGUGGGAUUUGUGGAGUCUGGAUAUCCGCAGUGUGCAGGUGCAAUUGAUGGUACCCACAUCCCUAUAAUCGCACCUCAUGAUAAUCAUGCCGACUACUACAACAGAAAGGGAUGGCAUUCCAUUGUUUUGCAAGCUGUGGUGGAUCAUAAGUAUUGGUAAUGUUCUUAUCAUUGUGUUUUCUUAAUGCUAAUUGUUUAUAAUUAAUUUACAACUUAAUAUAUAUUUUUAUAUAUUUUUAUAUAGUUUCACUGACGUAUUCAUCGGUUGGCCGGGGCGGUCACAUGACGCUCGAGUUCUUGCAAACUCUGAUCUGUACCGGGUAGCAGAGGACAAGCAAGGGGGCUACCUUUUUCCAAGAGAGAAAUCCAAAUUUGUGGACGGAGUGGAGAUCCCGGUACACAUAAUUGGUGAUGCAGCCUACCCGUUACGACGAUGGCUCAUGAAGGGGUUCACCCAACAUGUCCAGCUGAGCCCCAAUCAAAUUACAUAUACGCACACCCUGAGCUCGGCAAGAAUGGUGGUCGAAAAUGCCUUUGGACGAUUAAAAGGACGUUGGCGCUGUCUUAUGAAGCGCAAUGAUGUAGACAUUAAUAUCAUGCCUAACAUUGUUGCAGCAUGUUGUAUUCUGCAUAACCUAUGUGAGUUUCAGAGGGAGGAAUUCCUACCAGAGUGGACAGUGCAGGCCUCUGCUGCGUACCCUGCACUUGAUUGUGAGGCCUAUUUGGGCGACCAUUCUGGAAGUGCAGAACAGAUGAGGUCUGCUAUAAUGGCCAACCUUCCCUCAUUACUCCGUUAAUUUUUUUCAGUUUGUAUAUUCUGUUAAUUGUUGUUGAUACAAAAAAAAAACCUGUUUAGUUGACAUUCUGCUACUGUGUCGAUACAAAUGUACAACAUCAAUAUCCAAUUUGAAAUGGAUGUAUCAAGCAUUUUGUUUGUUUGUAAGUAAAAAUAGGACAAGUCCAAAGAUUAACAAAAGGUCAGAGACCGUAGAAUUUUAAUUUGUAUAAAACUUUGGAAAAUAAAGUAGUGCAAUCGUUACAGUAACAAGUCAAACCAGUAAUAGUGCAGUAAAAACACUCCUAUGAUUUUAAAACAAACCUUUUUUUAAAAACAAUAACUAUUUAAGUUAAAUUACGAUAAACAGGAGACUCUGUAGUUGUCUCCGUUUCAUCAGAAGGUGAUUGGGUGUGUUGAGGUUGUGUAUGUCGAGGAUGGGUAUAGUGAGUUGGAGUUAGUGGAGGUGGGGUUUGUUGGGGUUGGUUAUGGCGAGGAUGGGUAUGGUGUGGCGUUGGUUGAGGUGUGGUAUGAUUAUAGUAGGGGGGUGCAGGGUAAUAUUGGGUAUAUGGUUGAGGGUAGUUUGGUGGCACUGUGUGCAGCCCUUCAAUGCAUUGGAACAUUCGGUCAAAUAUGGACAUUUGAAAUUCCUGCAUUUCUCUCUGACGUUCUCUUGCAUCCCUAUUAUAGGUUUCCUGCAUAGAGAUCAGCUGCGUCAUAAAUGUAUUGUUCAUGUCUUGCUCUGCCUGCAGAAAUCGCUCGAGACGUGCAUCUUCUCGAUCAGCCAUAGCAGCGUCCAUCUGCUGUAAUUUUUCCACCAGGACAGUGGUCAUAAUUCUUGCAGCUUGCUCCGUUUUAUUUGGCCGGCGCCUCCUUGGCGGAACAGUAUAUACUGCAGACACAAAUCAAAUAAUAUGUUAUUGGAAUUUGCAAAGAGCUUAUAUAAAAUAGCAGUGUUUGCAAACGUGUUUUGUGGCCUCCUUCCACCUACACACUGCAUAUACUCUGCAACAUUUAUCAUUUUAAAUUGUAUGCAUUUUUUUCACAGAUUUAUUGACGUUAAUGUUUAGAGUUGUUAGUUUGUGUUUAGUUUACGUUAAUUGUUAAUGUUAGUUAUUAUGCUUUUAGGAUUGUUGUACUUACUGUUUCCACGCAAAGGCUGCGUUUGUGCAAUUAGGGCCAUUUGACUUGGCCCAGCCGCUGUGUCUUCUGGCGCAUCAGUGGUUUCAGUUCUGCUGGGCUCCUGUACAACUGGGUCAGGCAUAGUGGUUGCCAUCGGUUGCGUAUCAUCCAGUACUAGUAGUGGAGAUGGUGGUGGUGGUGAUCGGGUGUCUGGGUCCUGUGCUCGGGUGUCUGGGUCCUGUACGCUGGUGGAAGCAGCACAGGCCUGUCUUGUUUCUGCUGCUGCUAUGCUGGAGGAUAAGCUAACCGGUGUUGCAAGUGCUGUGUGGCCAAAUAUGGUGGCACACUGCUCAUAAUAUUGCCACUCCAUACGGGCAGCACCACUUCUGUUUCUGUUGUGAUCGUGGACCUUAUGGAAAUUCCUUUUAAGGGCCUUUAGCUUAUUGAUUACCUGCUGGGAGGUACGGUGGAAUCCAGAGGCUGCAAGCAUCUUCGUUAUGUUUUUGUAUGUGAUUGCAUCCUUAACAGUCCCUGUCAUUUGGUGGGUGAUUUCCGACUCCCCUCUUAUCCGUAACAGCUCCCUAACCUCAUCCUCACUCCAGUUUGCCAUAUUUUCCAAGCACUGUAGCAAUGUAGCACUGAAUGUAGAAGUAUAAAUAAAAACACACUGUUUAAAG